rnacentral:rRNA from 1 species
CUACGGGGGGCACCAGUAGGGAAUCUUAGACAAUGGGGGAAACCCUGAUCUAGCCAUGCCGCGUGAGUGAUGAAGGCCUUAGGGUUGUAAAGCUCUUUCGCUGGGGAAGAUAAUGACGGUACCCAGUAAAGAAACCCCGGCUAACUCCGUGCCAGCAGCCGCGGUAAUACGGAGGGGGUUAGCGUUGUUCGGAAUUACUGGGCGUAAAGCGCGCGUAGGCGGGCUAUUAAGUCAGGGGUGAAAUCCCGGGGCUCAACCCCGGAACUGCCUUUGAUACUGGUAGUCUUGAGUUCGAGAGAGGUGAGUGGAAUUCCGAGUGUAGAGGUGAAAUUCGUAGAUAUUCGGAGGAACAUCAGUGGCGAAGGCGACUCACUGGCUCGAUACUGACGCUGAGGUGCGAAAGUGUGGGGAGCAAACAGGAUUAGAUACCCCUGUAGUC